GUAGUUAGGAUUUCAAGCCUAACCAGCUGUAUGCACGUAGUCGUAACUGAAAGGUUGAUCGACCACAGUGGGCCUGAAUAAAGCCCAUGACGAUUGUCACAGCAGUGAGGAAUAUUGGUCAAUAGCCUAACGGCUGAACCAGCAACUUGGAGGAAUGUAUAGCAAUAGCUACUAGCAUCAUAGUAAUAUGAUGUAAGAUCGACUAUGUUGAAUAAAAUUCUAGGUAGAAUUAUGAUAAUGACAUUAUCUGCCUAUGUGUCUUGACCAAAUUACGUGCCAGCAGUCGCGGUAAUACGUAGAAGACUAGUGUUAUUCAUGUUUAAUCGGUUUAAAGGGUACCUAGACGGUAAAUCAAGCCUAAUAAGAAAGAAUGGAAGGGACUAAUUUACUAGAGUUACUUAUGAGGGGGCUAUAAUGUACAGCUGGUGUAGAGAUGAAAUCUAUCAUACCUCUUUUCAAUAGAAAAAAUGAAGGCACAGGUAUAGGCGAAAGCAUCUCCUUAUGUGAUAACUGACGUUGAGGGACGAAGGCUUUGUGUAGCGAACAGGAUUAGAUACCCCAGUAGUCUUAGCAGAAAAUGAUGAAUGUCAUAGAUUAGAUAUAUAAGUUUAUUCUAUAAAUGAAAGUGUAAGCAUUCCACCUCAAGAGUAAUUUGGCAACAUUGGAACUGAAAUCAUUAGACCGUUUCUGAAACAGUAGUGAAGUAUGUUGUUUAAUUUGAUAAUCCGCAAAAAACCUUACCACAAUUUGAAUAUUUAUAUCUUUUAUUG
rnacentral:rRNA from 1 species